AAUUAUAUAGUCUAAUUUAGGAUAAUAAAUUGCAAGUUUAUAGGUAAGGUUAAUUUUAUAAUUU
rnacentral:tRNA from 2 species